ACUGAGUAUCAGAAUAACAGUGAUGAUAAGGCCUGCCAGGGCCAUAAAUGGGCACUGAAGGCACUAUGGCAAUAUCUGGACUCAGAAGAGACUAACACCACUCUUAUCUGGGAGAAGAUCAAGGACAUUGUCAUUAAAACCAUCACUGCGUCAGAUCCACCUCAUUGAAGAAGUGUGUGCGUUCUCCGUACAGCUGUCAUGAGCUGUUUGGAUUUGACAUCAUUCUGGAUGAGGUCCUAAAGCCUUCAAGAAGCCAACACCUCUCCCAGUUUACGCACCGACAGUCCACUGGACGUGAGUGUCAAGGGCCAGUUGAUCCAUGAUGUGCUGAACCUAGCAGGUUUUGUGUUGCCUAAGAAAGAAGACAUUAUCAGCAGUGGCAGCAGUGGUCACCAAAAUCCACAAAAAGUGUGGACGCCGAUCAGCCCUCAAGAACACCAAGUAGGAUUCAAGAACACGUGGAGGAUUUCAUGUUUAGGUUUUCAUGUGGGUUUUUUUUUUUUUUUUCAGAUUAAAAGCAUUUGAAAUAAAUCGACUGGCAA